GAAGAAGCUGUGCAAUUCUCAAACUGGGAAACUGGAAUCACCUAAUUUGAAAGUGGGAUAACUUCUUCAUGCCAACUCCUAUGAGAUUUAUUCAACUUCCUGGUGAUUCUCCACCACUUUAUGUAUCCAAAUCAAGCUUUUCACAAAGUGAUUCAUCCUGGUUUGAUUGGAACGACGAAGAAGCUGUGCUAUUCCCAAACUGGGAAACUGGAAUCACCUGAUUUGAAAGUGGGAUAACUUCUUCUUGCCAACUCCUAUGAGAUUUAUUCAACUUCCUGGUGAUUUUCCACCACUUUAUGUAUCCAAAUCAAGCUUCUUACAAAGAUAUUCAUCCUGUUUUGAUUGGAACGACGAAUAAGCUGUGCUAUUCCCAAAUUGGGAAACUGGAAUCACCUGAUUUGAAAGUGGGAUAACUUCUUCAUGCCAACUCCUAUGAAAUUUAUUCAACUUCCAGGUGAUUCUCCACCACUUUAUGUAUCCAAAUCAAGCUUUUCACAAAGUGAUUCAUCCUGGUUUGAUUGGAACGACGAAGAAGCUGUGCUAUUCCCAAACUGGGAAACUGGAAUCACCUGAUUUGAAAGUGGGAUAACUUCUUCUUGCCAACUCCUAUGAGAUUUAUUCAACUUCCUGGUGAUUCUCCACCACUUUAUGUAUCCAAAUCAAGCUUCUUACAAAGUGAUUCAUCCUGGUUUGAUUGGAACGACGAAGAAGCUGUGCUAUUCCCAAACUGUGAAACUGGAAUCACCUGAUUU
rnacentral:lncRNA from 1 species